rnacentral:lncRNA from 1 species
CUUAUACAAAGACCUUGAUAGUGUCUUUGAUUUUGUGGUGAGAAAGUGUGUUUUAUGAGUGGAAGAACUUGAUAGUGAAGUUGAUUGGAAUUCACAUACUUGUUAGAAGCUUCAAAAGUUGAUUUCAGAGUAUUUGGAGUGAAGAAACAUUCAUUUGUUCACAAGAAGGCAUUCUGAGAUUUUGCUAGUACAAAAUUGUUGUAGUGAUUUUAAGCACAUAGAGACUCUUUUUCAUGAUAUUUUUUGAUAGAUCUCUUCUAAGACAUGGCUUCAAGUGAGGGUGAAGGCUUGAAAGUGAUUAAGAAGUUUAGAGGUGACAAUUUCUACCAUUGGAAGGUCAAAAUGGAGCUUUUGUUGGCGUCUUUGGUCCUUUGGGACAUUGUAGAUGAAAGUAUAGAGUCUCCAAGCAUGCAUG